UAAUAUUCAGAGUUUACAACGUUGUAAUUGAUGAUUAAUGUUAAUAAACUAAAAAGAGAUACUUCAAAUAUAUGAUUUAUUUAUUUUAAUGUAUAUUUUCAACAAUAUUAUUGUAUAAUCACUGUACCGUGGACGGCACACACACUGUAGUGAACAAAGUUAAUUAUUCAUGAACGAAAAUUGUUCGGUUUUUAGAAAAACUUUUGCAAGCCCAGUUUAAAAGAACAUGUUAUCAUCUGCUUUGUGGAUAAAUAAUCAGGGCAGUGGUUGAUUCUGAAUUAAAUUGCUGUUUACUGACACUGUAAUUUACUUUUUGUUCUUUUUUCAGAUCAUUAAUCCACAUCGUUUAUCAAGUAAGCAAGUUUUUGUAUAAUAAGACUCAUCUGAGAAUCUUUUUAAUAUCAGUUUCUGAAUCUGCACACCACUGCACUCACAAUGGCAUCAAGCUGGUCAAAGAGGCGCAAAUGUAGGUCAAUGCUUGAGGCCACAGAGUCCGAGAUACUACAGCAGUUUGAGGAGACCUUUAAUGAUACAAAUAUGCAAGGCAACACUGACACAGCAUCAGAACGCGUAGAGUUCCCAAGGGAAGUAGUGGAUCCAACUGUUUCAACCUCUAGCCACUCAGUUGUAGAGGAGCUACCAGUUAUAGGGAACUAUGAGCCGAGUUCAGAAUUCAGUGAAACUCAUGAGUCAAUAGACACAGCUCAUUACAUUGAUUCAGAUGAUACUGAAACUCCCACUACAGAGUUUUUGAUGAUGAGUCUGAGAUUUUGGGCUUCUACAUUUUCAGUCUCUCAAGUGGCACUAACUGCACUUUUGAGCAUUUUGCGCGUUUCAUCCAGAAUUGCCUAAAGAUGCUCGGACAGUUCUGAGGACGCAAGGUCAAAUAAUAACUAGCAAGAUGGAGGGUGGGGAAUACUAUCACUUUGGCAUAGCCAGUGGGUUGAUGUCGAGGCUUAAAUCUUUGACUCUACCUGCCAACUUGAACACACUUAAGUUGCAGUUCAAUAUAGAUGGAUUACCACUAUUCAGAAGCAGUAGACUUCAGUUCUGGCUAAUUCUUGCUAUGGUAAAUGUGGAUUACACCAGAUCUCCCUUCCUUGUUGGCCUGUUCUGUGGCCUUAGCAAGCCUAAAAGUCCAUCUGAAUUCUUGGGCACAUUUAUUGAGGACCUUAAAGACAUUUUGCAGAGAGGUAUAAUUUAUAAUGGGCAGCAGCUAAUGGCUAAUGGCACGAGCCUUCGUUAAAAACACACAAUGGUUACUCUGGUUGCGAUAAACGCUUUCAAGUGGGUGAAUGGCAGGGCAAAAUGACCUUUCCUGAUGUCAAUGCUAAAUUAAGAACUGACACAGAUUUCGCCUCCAUGACUGAUGAGGACCACCACUUGAGUCGAACACCAUCUCCCCUAGUUGGCGUUGUGAAAAUGGUGACAAUGUUCCCAUUAGACUAUAUGCAUUUAUGUUGUCUUGGGGUAACCAGGAAGCUUCUGUAUAUUUGGAUGAGGGGCAAAUGUCUUGCAACUAGUUUGGGCAGUAAAACAAUUGGGGAGAUUUCUGUGAAGUUGAAGGCACUGACACCUUACACUCCCACUGAGUUCAGUCGCAAACCCAGAGAACUCUCAGAAAUUGAUAGGUGGAAAACAACUGAACUCCGGUAUUUUAUGCUAUACGCUGGCCCUGUAGUGCUGAGAGAUACGAUUCCCCUGGAGAUGUUUAACAACUUUAUGUUGUUUUCUUUUGCUAUGCAUCUCCUUUUAUCUCCUGGUACAUCAGAGAAAAUUGUGGACUGUGCCCACAAAUUGCUAAUUUCAUUUGUGAGUCACUUUGGGCAGCUAUAUGGCAGAUCUGAAAUUACUUACAAUGUCCACCAGCUGACACACCUGGCAGCAGAAUAUCAUCUCUAUGGUCCCUUAGAUAAUAUUGCUGCCUUUCCUUAUGAGAACUAUUUGGCCCAACUAAAACAUUUACUGCGCAAACCUCAUUUGCAUUUACAGCAAAUGGUUGAAAGGCUUUCUGAAAGAGACCCUCAGACAUCCCAAAUCAACAAAAGCCUCAAAUUCAUGCACCACCUUAUGAUGGCCCAUUGGUGUCUCAUAUAGAACAUGGGGAGCAGUAUAGAAAGGUUGUAACUAAACAUUUCACCUUAUCAUGUAGGUCUGGGGAUAAUUGCAUUCAGAUAGUUGAUGACAUCGCUCUUGUUGACAACAUAGUCAAAGAAGCUCAGGAAACAUGUGAUUUUCCGGAAAUUUACAAGGAAUGUCCAUUACCCCUUUUGAAUCAGCAAACAUCAACUGUUACAAAGUGUGGGACUUAGCAGCUGUGUCGGUGUUGUAAAGCUCCAAAUAAUUAAAACAAAAUAUAUACUUUUCCCCAAUAAAAUAGAGUUCAUUGCCAUUCCCCUCAUACAUACAAAGUAAAUAAUUUCGUGAAAUCAGUUCAUAAAAUCAGUUCAUAAAAAUCAGUUCAUAAAAUCAGUUCAUGUGUUAAUAACCAACCAUUAUCUUUACCAUAAACAAAUAGUAUGAAGCAGUGGUGCCUUGUGAAGUUCAAUAGUGGUGGAACAGAACUUGUGCCACACAUAUGGCUUCAGGGGGAGAAGGUUUUCUGGCCUCCAUACCCUCCAAAAGAGUCGGGCAAGGUUUGUGCUGCCAUCAAGAGGAGGGAUGAACCAACGGAGGAAUGGCAGACUUAUGAGCCUGUCAGGGUCCUCAUAAGCCGAGAUACAUUUGAGGAAGCAGAGAGGUGCCUGGAAAGGUAUUUGAAGCAGCAAUGCAACACUACCGACAUCCAAUCGGUGGAGGAGUGCCAAUAGCCUCUGAAAAGGAGAAAGAAACCAAAUCCAAUCUACAACAACCUUGAUGACUCUGAUGAAGAUGGCCAACCUCGGAUUAAAUAUUCCCAAGCUCCCAAAAUUUUGUUCCCAGGUAUAGUAGCUGUUACGGUUGUAUGUAUUCCCUGUGCUGUUUGUCAGUUCUCCUCCCAUUCUCUACCUCUGCUCAGGUGUGAUGCAUCUGAGGACCUUGAUUAGCAGCACCUGACCAGCUGAUUGAUUGGGAGUUAAAGGCUACAGUAUCCUGUUCCUGACAAGAGGCCUUUGGUGUCGGGACUGCUGGCUGUCUAGUUGCUUUGCAGCCUGGGAUUUUGUCUUAUCUUUAUUUGGACUUUGUGUCAUGUAUUAGUUUAAUAUCUUGUAAUUGUUAUGUCUUGAUAUUAAUAAAUCCCACUGGAUGGUUGAUUUUAAAGGUGUUAUUUAUUAGGAAUUUGGGUCAAUGGUGGGUUUUUGUUUGCCCCUAAAGGGCUGCCUAAGGGUGGGGUUAACAUAGGCAACAGUGUGGUGUGUUUAACAAAGUAAGCAGAGAAGCUAAUUCAGCAUAAUAACCUGUAAUAUCUUUUAUACCCCCCCUCCCAACUUUUUUUGUCAUACACACAUUUUGUUGCCUCCAGCCCUCUGCAGUCUCCCUCUCCAUCCUCUCAACUCCAACCUCUAGCCCCAGCAAAUUGCCAGAUCACUUUUAAUAACCCAACCAGCUAUGAGACCCUGCCCGCCCCAGCCAGCUGCCAGUCUCCGCUGCCCUACCCCAACAGCCAACCCAUUACCUUCCCUGCAGAAGAUUUUCAGUUUCCCCUCCAGUCAUUUUUGCCAGUGGCUGCUACCAGUACUCCCCGGUCUGCAGCCAAUUUCUCUGCAGAAGACUCAAGAGACUCCGCCAGGCAACUUUCAAAAG